CGGAGGGUGCAAGCGUUAUCCGGAUUCACUGGGUUUAAAGGGUGCGUAGGUGGGCAAGUAAGUCAGUGGUGAAAUCUCCGGGCUUAACCCGGAAACUGCCAUUGAUACUAUUUGUCUUGAAUACUGCGGAGGUCAGCGGAAUAUGUCAUGUAGCGGUGAAAUGCUUAGAUAUGACAUAGAACACCAAUUGCGAAGGCAGCUGGCUACACAAAUAUUGACACUGAGGCACGAAAGCGUGGGGAUCAAACAGGAUUAGAUACCCUGGUAGUCCACGCCCUAAACUAUGGAUACUCGACAUUUGCGAUAAACUGCAAGUGUCUGAGCGAAAGCAUUAAGUAUCCCACCUGGGAAGUACGAUCGCAAGAUUG
rnacentral:rRNA from 1 species